rnacentral:rRNA from 1 species
AUGGAGUUCUCCAUUGCAGAACUCCCAACCGGAGAAUGGUACAGGGAAGGUGUAGCCAUUAUUGAGGCAGGGGAAGGCAGGCUUGGGAUGUUUGGUCUCCGUGGUGAAAAUGAAAUUGCAUCUGAUCUCAGUUAUUGCACCAUUGUGCGUAACAGCGGUGAGAGUCCCAACCAGUGGCUGAUGGAGAAGACAACCUCACUAGUUUCUGGGUACCACUAUUUUAUCAAAGCUGUAACAGAGAGGUGUUUGCUAUUGAUGAGAACAGAAUCCUUGCCAGGUUCACCUAUAGAGAAGCCACUCCUAGAGUAUUUCACAAUGGACAUCAACACAUUGCAGCUUCAGAGGGUUUGUGCGAAACGAUUCAAGCUUAGGCUGCCCCCGUCAAGCAUAUAUGCCUACUUUUUUCAAACCGGGAUGUAUACCAACUUUCCACCAUCGUUGUUACCUCCAUGGACAGUAUGA